AUCAUACCGUCUCAUAUCUUUAAAUCCGAUAAGAGUUUAUAUCAUAUCAUAUCAUAUUGUUGUGUCGAAAUGACCAUAUCAUUCAUAUCAUAACAUAUCAUAUCAUAAUUUUAACUUUCAUGAGUAUAAAAUUCAUUAACAUGAAAAAAAUAUUAAAACGGGGUAGAAAAAUAUUACACUUCAAUAUCCUGCCUUCUUAACUUGCUUUAAUUUUGGAAGACAAAACAAAAGAAUUCAUGCUCCAACAAUCCUUUUCUCUGCCCCUACUUACAUACUGUGCAUGUAUGUAUAUUUUAUUUUUUUUGUGUCCUUUCCGUCAUGUGAAAUAGAUUUUAUAUACAUAGACAAUUGGUGUAUCGUGAGAAAACGUGUGAGAGUGAAAUGAGGUUAUGGAUGAGUAUUGGGAACUGAAAUUUUGAUUAAGUCUUGUCAUUCAAAAAUCAAAAUCAGUACAUUUCCCUACACGUGUGGCAUUCCCAUUUAAUUCAAAGUUCUAGUUAAGGAAAAAAAUGGAUAAAUAUAAAAACAAAGUUGGU
rnacentral:lncRNA from 1 species